rnacentral:rRNA from 1 species
UACGUAGGGGGCUAGCGUUGCUCGGAAUCACUGGGCGUAAAGGGUGCGUAGGCGGGUCUUUAAGUCAGGGGUGAAAUCCUGGAGCUCAACUCCAGAACUGCCUUUGAUACUGAGGAUCUUGAGUUCGGGAGAGGUGAGUGGAACUGCGAGUGUAGAGGUGAAAUUCGUAGAUAUUCGCAAGAACACCAGUGGCGAAGGCGGCUCACUGGCCCGAUACUGACGCUGAGGCACGAAAAGCGUGGGGGAGCAAACAG